UUCCUACGGGAGGCAGCAGUAAGGAAUAUUGGACAAUGGACGAAAGUCUGAUCCAGCCAUGCCGCGUGCAGGAUGAAGGUCCUAUGGAUUGUAAACUGCUUUUGUACGGGAAAAAACCCCUGGUCGUGUACCGGGGCUGAUUGUACCGUAAGAAUAAGGGUCGGCUAACUUCGUGCCAGCAGCCGCGGUAAGACGAAGGACCCGAGCGUUAUCCGGAUUCAUUGGGUUUAAAGGGUGCGUAGGCGGAUUGGUAAGUCAGUGGUGAAAUCUCCAGGCUCAACUUGGAAACUGCCAUUGAUACUGCCAGUCUUGAGUACAGCUGAUGUGGGCGGAAUAUGACAUGUAGCGGUGAAAUGCUUAGAUAUGUCAUAGAACACCGAUUGCGAAGGCAGCUCACAUA
rnacentral:rRNA from 1 species